rnacentral:rRNA from 1 species
UACGGAGGGGGCUAGCGUUGUUCGGAAUUACUGGGCGUAAAGGGCGCGUAGGCGGCCAUCUAAGUCAGACGUGAAAUCCCCGGGCUUAACCUGGGAACUGCAUUUGUGACUGCAUGGCUGGAGUGCGGCAGAGGGGGAUGGAAUUCCGCGUGUAGCAGUGAAAUGCGUAGAUAUGCGGAGGAACACCGAUGGCGAAGGCAAUCCCCUGGGCCUGCACUGACGCUCAUGCACGAAAGCGUGGGGAGCAAACAGG